rnacentral:rRNA from 1 species
CCUACUACCCCUCCGUUGUGGUCCUUCGGUCCUCCCCACCCGAACCGUACCGGCCCGGCCGGUCCGGACCGGUACGAGGACGGUACGUUACCUACCGACCGUUCCGUUCGCCGCCGAGACGUACGACAUAAGUACGACCCACCUCGGAGGGUAUGCGGCCAGAGAACUAACACGAAAGUAUAGGGACCCGGGCCNCAAAGACAGCGGAGGCACAUGGCGUAUUACGUACGCAACGACGAGAAACGUAACCCUAACGGACGUUGUACGAACUAGUCACGGAAAGGUAACUCCCACAGAUGGNGGGGUCCGUAAGGGUCCUGCACAGGUGGUGCAUGGUUGUCGUCAGCUCGUGUCGUGAGAUGUUGGGUUAAGUCCCGCAACGAGC